GGAUGUGAGGGCAAUCUGGUUGCGACAUCUGUCACCCCAUUGAUCGCCAGGGUUGAUUCGGCUGAUCUGGCUGGCUAGGCGGGUGUCCCCUUCCUCCCUCACCGCUCCAUGUGCAUCCCUCCUGAAGCUGCGCUCUCGGUUGAAGAGGACGACCAUCCCCGAUAGAGGAGGACCGUUCUUCGGUCAAGGGUAUACGAGUAGCUGCGCUCUCCUGCUAGAACCUCCAAACAAGCUCUCAAGGUCCAUUUGUAGGAGAAAGUAGGGUAGUCAAGCUUCCAAGACUCCAGACACAUCCAAAUGAGGCGCUGCAUGUGGCAGUCUGCCUUUCUUG
rnacentral:snRNA from 1 species